UUUACGUUGCUUUGCUCCUCGAGUCACUCUGACUAUCGUGUCCAGAUAGAUCGUUUUGGACAAGCUAAAAAGGAGUGCUGCUGCUGCUGCUGCUGCUGUUGUGGUGCCGGUGGCAAGUGUGAGCACCCUCUACUGGUAGAAAGCAGAGGCUGCCCAAGUCUGGUCCUGCAGAGCCGCUUCCCGUCCAGCCUGUUUUCCAUCAUCCAGAUUCAAGUCCUAGGCAUCGUGAUUGGGCGGGCGCUGAUGAGAUGGCUUGGCUGAUCAUUUGCUGCAGGGACACAAGAAAAGUGAAAAGACGGAGACACGUGGAAACAAGCAAGUGAGGAGGCGGCUGACAUAAGCAGCGGUCCCGCGACAAGCGACAUCAUUCGUCGCACCUCUAUUUGGUACGGCUCGUCGUCACGCAGGAAUCUCAACAAAGAAGCAAACGCUGCAGGAAGUCUUAGGUGAGUAGCCAGCCCAUUGCUGCCAUUGCGCCGCCCGCUCGCGUUGGGAGGGCUCCACCGCCGGAGGGCUCUACCGCCGGAGGGCUCUACCGCCGGAGGGCUCUACCGCCGGAGGGCUCUACCGCCGGAGGGCUCUACCGCCGGAGGGCUCUACCGCCGGAGGGCUCUACCGAGGAGGCCACGUCUCGCACGGGCUGCUCCAUGAGCGUUUCCCACACAGCUUUGACUGGCCUUCUUAGUGGACGAGCAUUGAGGGGAGAUUGCCCUUUUGGCUCAAGCCAACCCAGCGGCACCUGGAAAGCGGACUUUAAACCGAUGAUGAUGCUCAAGCAGUACGUAAAUGAAAAAGAUGGAUCUUUCCAACCUUUGUUCUUUGGCUCAUUUUUAAAAGCCUUUACGCCCAAAUGACAUCAGAAACUCA